AGAGAAUUCUCUGUGGGGGAGGAGAUACUAUCUAGAUUAGGUGGUAACACUGAGGUGAAGGGACUCUCCAGGCAGAGGAGGGAAUACACAUAAAUAGAAUGUGGUGGUUUUUUACUAUAAGAUUUUAGCCAAGCAGGCACGGAAUUUUCUAGAACUACUUUCCCUGUAUAAUUAGGAUUUGGCACAAAGAGCUUUAAGUGAGAUUUGGAAGGUACAAGAGGAACAGCAGUCAUUACAGAAGAUUAGUACAAGCCUCCAUGCAUGGCCAACCCUUGGCACAUUUGCUGCUGAUUCACGGGCUUCUCUCACUGGUGUGCAUAGACCCACAGCUCCUCUGCCUGCUGUCAGAUCGCUUCCUUCAGCUUUUCCAAGUCCUGAGUCAGACACGUGUGCAACUCUGGGGUGAAAGACACCAGCUUCUUCUGCAGAUUACCUGUAUCAUUUGGGUUUGAAGCAUAUUCUGAUGUGUCUUUGUGAAUACCAGUUUAUUCUCAAGGAUUUUAGGUUGUCUUUUCUUUUCUUUUUUUUUUUUUUCUAUUUCGUUUAGAGCUUUUCUUCCUGAUGGCUUAUCUACCGAUCAAAGCAACUUCUACCUCACCAGCAGAUACAGAGGCAACUUCUUCCAUAGAUUUCUUCACCAGUUUUCCUUAGCUGUCUCCUUGGAACAUUUGAAAUCCUCUGGUUCUUUGGCACCCAAAUAUGAAGGUCAUUUCAUCAAAGGCCUAAAAUUUUCAUAGAGAGGAUUUGAGAAAGGUGAUCUCAAUAAAAUACAAAAAAAAAAAGGAAGAAAAGCUACAGUAAAAGAAAUAUUGCUACUUAUAUAUGCAAACGAAGACUGAGGACAACUAUUAUCAGCUUUCUACUCUUAAGAAUUAUUUAAGUUGCUACUCCUACUUCUACAUUUGGACAUUGGUUUACCAUGCCAUUUUUCCUUAUAUAUAUUUAAAAAAUCUCUUAAAAAUUAAAAUGGUAGUAUGCAUGUUUUCAGGCCAAAUAUAUAUUUCCAAACUGUUCUAAAUUUGUUACUACUGUGUUUUUACUCCUGAGUAAUCAAUAACAUUGAGUAAUAAAGACAGAAUUAUUUAUGUAUAAAUAAAAAUUCUCAUGAGAAUUUUUGUCUAUUUUUCCUUUUCUGAGUUGAAAAGCAGCCAUUUUCAACAUAGCUAAUUGUUGCUACAGUAUCAUUUUAAAUUAAUGUGGUACAGUGUAUGCUGAAAUAGCAGUGGAAAAAUAUUUAAGUUUUAACAAUGCUCUACUCAGGUAAAUAUCCCUGCAGGAAUCAAAAUUAAUAAAUAUUAUCUUCAGUAUACAUAAUACAAUAUAAUAUCUUUAAUAGGAGUUGCCAUUUUACUGAAUAUCUUCCAUUUGAUGUUUGUGAAAAGUUUGUUCAUUGACAUAGCUCAAUAAUAUUCCAUUUUACAAAUAUACCACAAUUAAUUAACCUAUCCUUCUGUAGAUAGACAUAUGGGUUUCUUUCCUUAUUAUACAUCAUAUUAAACUUUUAUAUUAUGAACAGUUCAUUGAAUCUAUUGAUCCAUUUGUGGAGAAUUUAUAUCUUUAUGAUAUUGAUUUUUCUUCCUAGAGGUAUAAUAUGCCUUUCCAUUUAUUUGAAUCAUUUUUAAUGUUUUAAAAUUUAGAUACAUUUAAUUAAUGUGUGUGUAUCUGUAUGUAAGCUUACUGCAAUGCUAAACAGGUAAAUAUUCAGAACACUCUGUAAAAAAAAAAAAAAGUUGAACUUCCACCUUAAUUACUGACUUUUUUUUAAUUAAUUGUAAGCAGAAAUGGGAUACUGUUUUCUCUGCCACAUUUCUGUCACCUGUGGUCAUAAUCCCUCGAGCUGUAUAAGGGAAGUUGUCUGUUCAAAUCAUGCAGUGUUCUUAUGUCACAAACCAAAACCUGAGUCUAUUAUGCUGAGCUAAUCUGCUUUGACCUGGGUAAUUUCCAUCCUGGGUUGAUCUGAUCUGCCAGGAGGUUUGGCCGUCAGAUUUUGGUGACUUCUGCUCCUCAGAGAAUUCUCAGAAUCCCAAAUUGCACCCCAUCUCACUAAGAGUGUGGAGAGGAAAAGACAGAAGGAUAGAAAAAGAGAAGGAGGAGGAAAAGGAAGUAUCUAUCUACAUGUUUAUAUCUAUACCUUUAUUUAUACUCACAGUAAAGGACAUUUGUCAGAAUAGCCCCCAAACACUAUUGCCGCACCAACAUCUAUUAAAAUAUAAACCAUCUUUAAUAAAUACUGAGCUGUGUAAAUAUUUAUUUGCAUGCAAAAGAAAAGCUCUUUAGUAUUCUUAAGCCAGACUGAGCAGUCAACAGAUGAUUUUGAUAAAUGUCUGUUCAUUACCUGAACAUUUCCAUUGCAAUAUAAAACAAAGAUUUCAUCUACAUUUUAUUUUUGCUCCAUGAAUGGUUCCACACUUUCUAAUCAGUGUUAUUUUUAAGAUUAAAUUUGGAUAGUAAUGUAAAUAUGGGAGGGGAAUGGGUGUCUAAGAGGAUUUUCUGGUUCAUAGUCAUUAUAAUAGUCACAAUAUACAAGAUAAUUUGUAAGUCUAGGCCCCCUUUUGCUCAGGCAGUCUAAUUCUUUAUGUCCAAGAAUUUUGUCAAAGUAAUGUUCUUCAUGCUAAUAAAUAUAAUAAAAACAUACCCUUUUCUGGUAGUUGUCUUCUUUUAAUAUUAAUAUGUCAUUUUUCUUCAUGAUUCUAAAAACAAAUAUGAACUGCUUUGUAAAUAUUGGUCAAUGAAUACUUCAUGACACUCCCUUUUGAAAGGUGUAUGACUUGACAGCCGCUAUUUAGACAUUUCAUUUAUGUCAUGGGUUUUGUUUUCUAUUUUUGCUGUUGCUGUUGUUUUAAAUCAGGGCUUGAUAUUGAUGGGGCAAGAUUAGGAAGUAAAGAACCACAUAGUUCUCUCUCCUUCAUCUCUUCCUGUGUUAAUAAAUGGUUCCAUGAUCUAAUAAAAGAGCAAACACAGGAAACAAUAAGGGGAAUCAAAAAGUGAAAAUAAAACAAACAAAUCUAGAAACAAGCAAACUUUAUCUUGAGUUUUGUGGACUUCCUGCAGAGAUUUCUCAAUUCCUGUUUCUACUCCAAAUGCAUUCAUGUGACUAGCAUGCUCAGUGAAUUGGGCAUCUUUUGCUCUUUAAAAUUACUUAUUUAAGAAAAAUUUAUGUAUACUCUGAUC
rnacentral:lncRNA from 1 species